UGGACUUGUUACUGACACUGAGGCACGAAAAGCGUGGGGGAGCAAAACAGGAUUAGAUACCCUGGUAGUCCACGCCGUAAAACGAUGAAUACUAGGUGUCGGGGGUGUGAGAGACUCCGGUGCCGCAGCCAACACAGUAAGUAUUCCACCUGGGGAGUACGUUCGCAAGAAUGAAACUCAAAAGAAUUGACGGGGACCCGCACACGCGGUGGAGCAUGUGGUUUAAUUAGAAGAAACGAGAAGAACCUUCUCAUGUUUUGACCUCCCCCCGACCGGUGUGUAAUGAGACCUCUCUUUCGGGACAGGGGAGACAGGUGGUGCAUGGUUGUUGUCAGCUCGUGUCGUGAGAUGUUGGGUUAAGUCCCGCAACGAGCGCAACCCCUAUUUUCAGUAGCCAGCAGUAAGAUGGGAACUCUGGAGAGACUGCCGGGGAUAACCCGGAGGAAGGUGGGGAGGACGUCAAAUCAUCAUGCCCCUUAUGAUUUGGGGUACACACGUGCUACAAUGGCGCUCACAAAGGGAAGGGAAGCUGUGAAGCGGAGCAAACCCCAGAAAGGACGUCUCAGUUCGGAUUGUAGUCUGCAACUCGACUACAUGAAGCUGGAAUCGCUAGUAAUCGCGAAUCAGAAUGUCGCGGUGAAUACGUUCCCGGGUCUUGUACACACCCCCCGUCAA
rnacentral:rRNA from 1 species